rnacentral:rRNA from 1 species
GACGAACGCUGGCGGCGUGCCUAAUACAUGCAAGUAGACCUGAGUAGCGAACGGGUGAGUAACGCGUAGGACACUGCCUCAUAGCGGGGGAUAACUAUGGGAAACGCUAGCUAAUACCGCAUACUGUGAGAUUGACCUGCGUUGUAUUGGCUAGGUGGGUAGGUAAAGGCUCACCAAGGCGACGAUACAUAGCCGACCUGAGAGGAUGAUCAGUCACACGGGAACUGAGACACGGUCCAGACUCCUACGGGAGGCAGCAGUGGGGAAUAUUGGACAAUGGGCGAAAGCCUGAUCCAGCCAUGCCGCGUGUGUGAAGAAGGUCUUCGGAUUGUAAAGCACUUUAAGUUGGGAGGCGUUACCAACAGAAUAAGCACCGGCUAACUUCGUGCCAGCAGCCGCGGUAAUUC